GUGUAUGCGAAGGGCACGCCUAGGCCGCCACGUGCAAGCGUAGCCAGGAUUUGUGUGCAGUUUCGAAAAUGCAAUUUUACCUAGAUGUGCGCCAGCCUGCACAUCUGUGUAUAUGCAACAGCUUGUGGCAAAUGUGAUUAAACGAAAUUGUAGCGCAGUGCGCUUUGAUUACGCUUUUCCGGGACACUUGAUGCAAAUUUGCAAACUCCUUUUUCGAAUUUGCGUUGCAGCUGUGAAAACUGCGACGGAACGGAGCGACCGCAGUGUAUGUGUGUGUGUGUGCGCGAGUGCGAGUGUGUUUGUGUGUACGAGCAAAGGAGGCGCAGCGCAUAGAUCACAAAUGUUAAUGGCUGUGUGUGUGUGUGUGUGUGUGUGUGCGUGUGCUGAGGUGUUCGCAACAGGAUGCGGUUAAUGUCUGUUAAGUGCAAAAGUCACUAUUAUUGAGUCUGCACGAAUCUCGAUUGACGUUUUCACUUCUCCUCUCGCAAUGUUAUUACCAUUUACUGCCAUUCACAAAAUACUCAAUAUUAUAAUGUGACCAAAUAAGCCAAAAUACCAAAAAUACCUAUUUAAGCACAAAUCUUGCGAGCAAUGACGUAGUUGGUCAAAGAUGGCAUAAAACCAAAUAGCACUGAUUGAUUGGACGCCACGUAAAGUCAGAGGAUAGUCGGUUAGAUUAAAGAAGCUAGUAUGUAAGGUUGAGAUCAAGGAGAAGAGGGCUUGGCCGACUACAUAUAAUAAUAAUUGUUGUAGAGUUGAUUUUUGAUGUAUAUAAUUUUAUUGCUGGUAUAUAAUGCAUCCACUAACUUCGACCCCGAUUCAAUUAAUCGCCGAUUAUCUAGUGAUUUUAAAUGUGGAUGAUCGGUGUACAUUACACUUGUUGCAGAUGUAAUUCAAAACUAAAGCUCGUAAAAUACUAGAAAUUCAAAAACACCACAAAAUUUAAAUAUUCUGCAUCUUGAUUAUUAUGGCGUCCCUCUCACCCGAGAUAAACGCGAUUAUAAUAUUGUAAUUGUAAAACAUAAAUCAAUAAUUCUAAAAAAAAUAUAUAUAUAUUUAUCUAAUAAAUAUACUCUAUGUGAAAAAGCUUUGUCAGAUAGAAAUAAAAUCCUUUAGUUGGCUAGAGACACCCUAGCUACUCCAACGUAAAUAAAUAAUAAGUGUAUAUUAUAAGAAAUUUGGUUUACAUAGAACAACAUAUGAUUUAUAAUUAAGUCAUGAAAUUUGUAUUGUACCUUAAUAAUAAAAUUACUCUAACAUGCCAUCAUCGUUAGAUAAAGUAGCUGGUUUAAUGUUAUUGUUAUUUUAGCUUUCUCCUUACAUAAAAAUAAAGCUCAGCGCUUCGGAUUUGGUUGACCUUCUUUUAAAAAUAAUUGUUUUAGAAGUCUGCCAGUAAUUGGAUCAUUGCGCAUAGCACCUAGUGUACUCUGUUUCGUCGAGCGGGAGAGUCCAAGGUCUCGGGCCCAACCGAAUAUAUUUCCGCUAUAACACUUAGUAUCGGAUUAUUGGUAU